AGCGAACGCUGGCGGCAUGCCUAACACAUGCAAGUCGCACGGUCGGGGGGUGACCUUCGCAGUGGCGGACGGGUGAGUAACGCGUAGGGAUCUAUCCUUGGAUGGGGGACGAACCGCGGGAAACCGCGGCUAAUACCGCAUGAUGCCUGAGGGCCAAAGCUCGCGAGAGCGUCUGGGGAGGAGCCUGCGUCCGAUUAGCUAGUUGGUGGGGUAACGGCCACCAAGGCGUCGANCGGUAGCUGGUCUGAGAGGAUGAUCAGCCACACUGGGACUGAGACACGGCCCAGACUCCUACGGGAGGCAGCAGUGGGGAAUAUUGGACAAUGGGCGCAAGCCUGAUCCAGCAAUGCCGCGUGGGUGAAGAAGGUC
rnacentral:rRNA from 1 species